rnacentral:ncRNA from 1 species
CUAGCAUAUGCGCAAGUCAUUGGGUGAUAAACCUAAAGGCGUAAUGAAAGUAAAAGUCGCCCAGAUGCGACCGAUAUGGGAUCCAUGCGGUUUUUGAAGCCGUACGGCGUACCAUAGCCCCGUCCCCGUUGCUUGCAAUAGGGCGGAGGUAGAGCGCAUACGCUGG